rnacentral:rRNA from 1 species
AGAGUUUGAUCCUGGCUCAGAUUGAACGCUGGCGGCAGGCUUAACACAUGCAAGUCGAGCGGGGGAGAUUGCUUCGGUAAUUGACCUAGCGGCGGACGGGUGAGUAAUACUUAGGAAUCUGCCUAUUAAUGGGGGACAACAUCUCGAAAGGGAUGCUAAUACCGCAUACGCCCUACGGGGGAAAGCAGGGGAUCACUUGUGACCUUGCGUUAAUAGAUGAGCCUAAGUCGGAUUAGCUAGUUGGUGGGGUAAAGGCCUACCAAGGCGACGAUCUGUAGCGGGUCUGAGAGGAUGAUCCGCCACACUGGGACUGAGACACGGCCCAGACUCCUACGGGAGGCAGCAGUGGGGAAUAUUGGACAAUGGGGGGAACCCUGAUCCAGCCAUGCCGCGUGUGUGAAGAAGGCCUUAUGGUUGUAAAGCACUUUAAGCGAGGAGGAGGCUCUCUUGGUUAAUACCCAAGAUGAGUGGACGUUACUCGCAGAAUAAGCACCGGCUAACUCUGUGCCAGCAGCCGCGGUAAUACAGAGGGUGCGAGCGUUAAUCGGAUUUACUGGGCGUAAAGCGUGCGUAGGCGGCUUUUUAAGUCGGAUGUGAAAUCCCCGAGCUUAACUUGGGAAUUGCAUUCGAUACUGGGAAGCUAGAGUAUGGGAGAGGAUGGUAGAAUUCCAGGUGUAGCGGUGAAAUGCGUAGAGAUCUGGAGGAAUACCGAUGGCGAAGGCAGCCAUCUGGCCUAAUACUGACGCUGAGGUACGAAAGCAUGGGGAGCAAACAGGAUUAGAUACCCUGGUAGUCCAUGCCGUAAACGAUGUCUACUAGCCGUUGGGGCCUUUGAGGCUUUAGUGGCGCAGCUAACGCGAUAAGUAGACCGCCUGGGGAGUACGGUCGCAAGACU